GUGUUCCAGGAAUAAGCCAUGCACGUCUAAGUACAAACUAAAUGAUGGUGAAACUGCAAAUGGCUCAUUACAACGGUUAUGAUGUACCCGGGAGUUCCGAUGGAUAUUUCCAGUAACACUAGAACUAAUACAUGUCCCUGCGUUUAUUAGUUUCGCACAGUCCGUCGCUGAGUCAUGGUAAACAGUUGAUCGACUCGACGUCCCGGAACAGUUUCCGCCCCAUCAGCUUCGAUGGUUGGGUAUUGGCCUACCAUUGCAACAACGGGUAACGAGGAAUUAGGGUUUGAUUUCGGAGAGGGAGCCUGAGAAACGGCUACCACAUCUACGGAUGGCAGCAGGCGCGCAAAUUACCCAAUGCAGACACUGUGAGGUAGUGACGAGAAAUAAUAAAGCGGGACUUCUGUUUCGCUAUUAUAAUGAGGAAUAACCAAAGGUCAUUCCGAUUAGCAACUGAUGGGAAAGUCUGGUGCCAGCAGCCGCGGUAAUACCAGCGUCAGUAG
rnacentral:rRNA from 1 species